UAGCUAUCCCCUCUUCUCUCUCCACAAAGAUUUCAUUCUAUCUACAUCCAUCCGGAUUGAUUGAUUUGCGAUUCUGGCCGCUGCUUCUUCAUAACCAAAUUCUGCAAGAUCUCUCGUCUUUUCCGUUGCAGUUGUUGCUUGAUCCUGUAACCAGAAGAGGGAGGUGUUUUGGGUCUAAUAUGACUGUAGUAGACCAGGCUCUUAUAACUUCUUUGACUACUGCAUAAAGAAAACUGGAGGAUGUCUGACUAUUGCUUGUAUGAGGUUCGCAAGGCGUGGAAGAGAAAUGGUGGAGUUUGAAGAUACUUUUUGGAAUGAGUUUGUCCAGACUGAUGAUCAUAUAGUGCCACAUCCUGGUCAUGAAUAUGAAACUGAUCCUGAACUCAAUGGUAAUAGCAACAAAAGACCUCGAUGUGAUGUGGCUGGGGUUUCAAGUCACGCUGGAGAAAAUUCAGCUUCUAAAUCUGUAGGUCAGCCAAAGGAGGAUGGAAGCUUUCAACCUUUAGAUAACAUCAAGAAUACUAUGCUGGACAAGGAAAGCUGGUCUCAAACACCUAAAGAUGUGUUUUCAGCUUCACAUGAUAAUGACGCCACCCUGAAGAUGACUCCUCAUUGUUUCCAAAGCAGCAAUGGAGGUGCAAUUAGUAGCGACACCUACAGCUAUCCACUUGCUGAAAUGUCUCCAACAGAAAAUGAUCUUAGUUUUCUUGAUAAUGACCAUGGUGACUAUGGAUGGCCUGAGAUUGGGAAUUUUGAGGACGUUGACCGCAUGUUUAGGAGUUGUGAUUCAACGUUUGGAAUUGAUAGCAUCGGCAAUGGUAACGAGUUAAGUUGGUUCUCAUCUUCACACGAUGUUGAAGGAUCUGAAGAUGUACUGAUGAAUUCAGACUUUAAAUUCUCUUCUGAGUCAACUCCUUGUAAAGGUACACCAGAACAAUAUGAAGCUUCUAAACUUAAGCACUCGCAAUUAGUUGGCAACUCAAAUGCAGAAGCUGGAUCUGUUGCCCAGUCAUCAGUUAUUAACGAACCUAGUGUUUCUCGUCACAUGACAUUCAUGAAUGAUGGACUUAAACCAAAGGAACUUGAGUUAAAUGGAAACCUUCAGUUCAAAGAAACGAAGAUCCCAUCAUUGAUUCAUCAAGUUUAUACCUCUCCAGAUAUACGCACACAAAAUCAAAGCAUUGGAGCUGAUCCCAAUAGUUAUUUACAAAAUCAUGUGAAUUAUAUGCAUCUGGAUUAUGGUGACCUGUCAAAUCAAAUUUCAGUCAAUCCCACCACACCGGGUGCCAGGUCCGAAUAUCCAGAGUCUUCAGACCACCCAGUACAAUCAUUUGAAAACUAUCAUGAUCCUUCAUUGGAAACUCCUGAUAUCAAAGUGGACAAGAAAAGAAAAAGGUCGCAGUACAGACUGGGACUCCAAUCUUCAUGCAAAGCAGAUGCUAAUCAUGUAAAUGCAUUAGAUCCAUCAGCUGCUUGCAAUUUAAAGUCUGCCCAUAAGAAGCAAGUUCAUAAGUUACAAAAUGAACUAGAGAAUCAUGAUGAGAUAGAUGGAGUUAGAUGUGGAAAUCCUGCUGAAGUUGAUUCCUUGUAUGCUCAAGAAAGCUCUUUGGAAUCCGGUUUAGUUGAUAUCUCACUGGAAGCAUCUAGUUUUCGGCAGCUUCAACAAGUCACUGACAAGUUGGACAUCAGGACGAAGUUGUGCAUAAGGGAUAGCUUAUAUCGUUUAGCAAGAAGUGCUGAACAGAGGAACAAUCAGGAAACACUCCAUGGAAGUUGUAAUGGCAUGCAUGUCGCUGGAGCAAUGGUGGUUGAAGGAACAAAUAAUUUUGCUGACAUGGAGACGGAUACAAACCCUAUAGACCGGUCUAUAGCACACUUACUAUUUCAUAGGGCACCAGACACAUCUUUGAUGCCUAGACAAGAUGGUGUUUCUGGCGAGUCACAUAGAACGAUACAUGGAUCAACAACAACAGCAAUACCUGAUAAACCGACUUGCCAUGAAGAAACUGCAGUUGAAAUAGACAAAGCAAUUGGUCAUCAGUGACUACAAAGAAGGGAGUAAUGAUAAAUUUAAUGAAUUCCCAUGCAGUGAGCAGUGUAAGAUAGGGUCAUUAUACGAUUACUAUGUAUUUAUACACAUAAUCUCGUGGCAUCUAUUUAUCAUGAAUUCCCAAAUUGGAAGAUGAGUAGAACAAGACUUACAUAUAUAUUGUGCUUCUGGAGCAGUUGGUGUCGUAGCAGUUCAGAGUGGCUAAUAUCUAUCUGCUGGCUUUCACGAGAUUUGAAGCAAUGGAAAAUAUUGUGCUCAACUAUAGUUAGAAGAAGGCGAAAGCAACUGUUCUUUUCACAGAACAGGGUUGACUCCAAUAUUGUAGUUGUCAUAUGUUCUUCCAUAGGUCUUUUUGUUAGGCUAUGGAUAGAGUCUGAAAUUCUUAUUUACUUCACUAUACUCACAACAUUAUUAUACUUUGAUCUGAGUUUUGACUAUGGAAAACCUGACCUGUUUGUUAA